rnacentral:rRNA from 1 species
AUUGAACGCUGGCGGCAGGCCUAACACAUGCAAGUCGAGCGAGCGGCGGACGGGAGUGUAAUGUCGGGGAAACUGCCUGAUGGAGGGGGAUAAUUACUGGAAACGGUAGUUAAAACCGCAUACCAUCAGAUUUGCCCAGAUGGGAUUAGCUAGUAGGUGGGGUAAUGGCUCACCAAGGCCACGAUCCCUAGCUGGUCUGAGAGGAUGACCAGCCACACUGGAACUGAGACACGGUCCAGACUCCUACGGGAGGCAGCAGUGGGGAAUAUUGCACAAUGGGCGAAAGCCUGAUACAGCCAUGCCGCGUGGGUGAAGAAGGCCUUCGGGUUGUAAAGCACUUUCAGCGAGGAGGCGGUACUCAAAGAGGAAGCCCCGGCUAACUCCGUGCCAGCAGCCGCGGUAAUAC